rnacentral:lncRNA from 1 species
CCCUCUCCCCCUCGCUCUCCUCCUCGAUCUGGAGAGGCACCCAACCCGGUCGUCGCCGUCGCCGCAUCGAUCCCGCGGCCACCGACCGCCUCUCAUCUCACCGGUGUGUCCAGGAGCUCCGUCGCGCCGCGCUCGUCCUCGUCAACUACUCCAUUCGCACCUGGAGGCCCCAAGAAGAUGCCACGAUCAACUUCCUCACCGUCACAGCCGCCGCACCUCGCCGUCGAUCCGCUACUCCGGGCCAUCCCCAACCCCUCUCGAGUUCGCCUGCGCCCUUCCCGGUGAGCACCGCGUCGAUUUCCGCCUGAUCCCUUCGAGUCCAUCACAUUAGAUGCCCCCUGAACGUAGCCGCCGUGGCUGCGCUCAAGCCCCGGCCACCCCGUGCGCGCCCUGGACUCCCCUGCCGGCACCCGUCCGCGCGCCCGGCUCGCCCGCCUGCUGUCGCAACUGCUGCUACCCUGCGCUGCCGCGGCCGCACGCUGCUUGCGGCACUGCCGCUGCUGCUGUUGCUGGCUCGCUACGCCAGCCCACGUGCGCGCGCGUCGAACCCCCGCUCGCCUUCUGUUGAAGCUGCCUUGGCGUGCCUGCUGCUGUUGAUUACUGCACUGCUGCUCUUGCUUUCUACUGCUGCUCUUCCAUUGUUGCUGCUAGCUACGCUUGCGCCGCUGCUCCUAUACUGCGGCUACACCGUUGCUUGCUACUACUGCUAAUGGCCGUGAAUUUGCGCCUAUGCGAGUUGCCAUGGCAACACAGCCGUGGCUCGAUGUGUGGCCGGCCAUGCACUAAUUUGUAGUACUACUAGGAAAAUGGCCCGUGCGUUGCAACGGGAAUACAAUCGUCCCUUGCUUGAUACCUUUUUUUUCUUUACCAGGGAUCCAUCCUAGCCCCACAAUGAAGCCUGACUGUUCCCGAAAAAAAAAGCCUGACUGUCACCACGAUGAUAGGGCAUGACAGUCUGUCUCGAGAAGGUCGUCGGAAUCGGAUAGACCUAAUGCGACCAUGGCCUCCUACUACACAUCUGCCCAAC